rnacentral:rRNA from 1 species
UACAGAGGUCUCAAGCGUUUGUUCGGAUUCAUUGGGCGUAAAGGGCGCGUAGGCGGCGAGGUAAGUCGGGUGUGAAAUCUCAGAGCUCACUCUGAAACUGCACUCGAUACUGCUUUGCUAGAGGACUGGAGAGGAGAUUGGAAUUCACGGUGUAGCAGUGAAAUGCGUAGAGAUCGUGAGGAAGACCAGUGGCGAAGGCGGAUCUCUGGACA